rnacentral:rRNA from 1 species
CUAGACUUGACAUCUCCUGCAUUACUCUUAAUCGAGGAAGUCCCUUCGGGGACAGGAUGACAGGUGGUGCAUGGUUGUCGUCAGCUCGUGUCGUGAGAUGUUGGGUUAAGUCCCGCAACGAGCGCAACCCUUAUUGUUAGUUGCCAUCAUUAAGUUGGGCACUCUAGCGAGACUGCCCGGGUUAACCGGGAGGAAGGUGGGGAUGACGUCAAAUCAUCAUGCCCCUUAUGUCUAGGGCUACACACGUGCUACAAUGGUCGGUACAAUAAGACGCAAGCCCGCGAGGGGGAGCAAAACUGGAAAACCGAUCUCAGUUCGGAUUGUAGGCUGAAACUCGCCUACAUGAAGCUGGAGUUGCUAGUAAUCGCGAAUCAGCAUGUCGCGGUGAAUACGUUCCC